rnacentral:rRNA from 1 species
CAGCCGCCGCGGUAAUACGUAGGGUGCAAGCGUUAAUCGGAAUUACUGGGCGUAAAGCGUGCGCAGGCGGUUCGGAAAGAAAGAUGUGAAAUCCCAGAGCUUAACUUUGGAACUGCAUUUUUAACUACCGGGCUAGAGUGUGUCAGAGGGAGGUGGAAUUCCGCGUGUAGCAGUGAAAUGCGUAGAUAUGCGGAGGAACACCGAUGGCGAAGGCAGCCUCCUGGGAUAACACUGACGCUCAUGCACGAAAGCGUGGGGAGCAAACAGGAUUAGAUACCCUGGUAGUCCACGCCCUAAACGAUGUCAACUAGCUGUUGGGGCCUUCGGGCCUUGGUAGCGCAGCUAACGCGUGAAGUUGACCGCCUGGGGAGUACGGUCGCAAGAUUAAAACUUAAAGAAAUUGGCGGG